rnacentral:rRNA from 1 species
GACGAACGCUGGCGGCGUGCUUAACACAUGCAAGUCGAGCGAUGAAGCUCCUUCGGGAGCGGAUUAGCGGCGGACGGGUGAGUAACACGUGGGUAACCUGCCUCAUAGAGGGGAAUAGCCUUUCGAAAGGAAGAUUAAUACCGCAUAAGAUUGUAGUUUCGCAUGAAGCAGCAAUUAAAGGAGUAAUCCGCUAUGAGAUGGACCCGCGUCGCAUUAGCUAGUUGGUGAGGUAACGGCUCACCAAGGCGACGAUGCGUAGCCGACCUGAGAGGGUGGUCAGCCGCAUGGGGACUGAGACACUGCCCCAAUCCUACGGGAGGCUG